rnacentral:lncRNA from 1 species
AAAGGGAAAUUACCCACAGCUGCCUUGGGGGUGCCCCAUUCCAGCCCAUACAGAUGAUAAGAAACAAUAAUUGAAACCUUGAACUUUGCAUCCCUAGAGACCAGACCGGUUCUUGACUACUUCCAACAGCAAGGAUUUUCCCAGUAUGAACCCCUGGAUACUGGACUCACAUCUUGAGGCUAUCGCAGAGUUGAGGAGCAAACCCAGUGUGGAGUGUGAGUCUCUGGCCCUCCUCCUCCCACCUUUCCCAAUGGAAGGUUCCCUCCAGGUAACCUCACAGGAUGAAGAGGUGGAUCACCUGCGCCUGGCGGUGGAGAGAAUGGCAGAUGACAUCCUGGUCCUGCGGGAGCACAUCGCUGCACUGGAGGUGGAGAACAGUGACCUGCGGCGCCGCGCAGCUGAGCUUGAUGAUUUGGAGCACCUCCUCUCCACCAACAUUGACACCACCACUGGGGCCAAGGUGGCUGACAGAUCAUGUAACCUAGGCAGACAUCUCUGAGCAGCCUGAUGGCUCAUUAUGAGCAGGGAAUUUGUCUGCUAAUUCUGAUGUAUUGUACUUUCCCAGGUGCUGCUUAGUAUAGUGUUCUGCACACAGGAAGCUCACAAUAAAUCCCAUUGAUUGAGGGCUGCAGAGCAGUGCAGUGGUCUCUACUAUAACAAUUGGAUUCAUUCAUUCAACUGGUUUAUUAAGCAUUUACUGUAUGCAGAGCACCAUACUAAGCACUUGGUGCCCACAGAGGGUUUCUGGCCAUCUGCCCAUCAGUCUUACUCAGUGUUGACUGCAGAUGAUGUUUGGACAGUCUGAGCUUAGUAAAAUAGGGAGUGUUUGCCUGAGCCCUAAACUCUGCAGUAUUCUACAAGCCCCUUCCUGAGGCUAGCUUCCAGGGGCAUUCCCCCAUUGCUGGAGCAGCUGUGUCCCCCUAACCUAGGCCCUCUACUGGCUUGCCAGUGGGGUCACAAAUCUGCAAGACAAGUAACACUCUUGGCAAACUUCUCCCCUCUUCCUAACCAUCUCCACCUCCCUGAUACUUCCCAAUGCUCCCAAAGCUAGAACCGGUUUUAGUGUCACAUAUACAUUCUAUGAGCUAGCCCAAUUUUCAAAUAACAUAAUGCUAUAAUCAAAAACCAAAUUUCAAGUAGCAUGGGCUAGAAGAGCAUAGGAUUGGGAAUCAGAAGACCUGGGGCCUACUCCUAGUUCCAUCACUUGCAUGCUGUAUGACCAUGGGUAAGCCAUUACAUCUCUGUGCCUCAGUGUCCUCAUCUAUCAAAUGGGGGUUAUGUCCUCCUUCUCCUUCCCUAACUACACUGUGAACCCCAUGUGGGGCAGGAACUGUGUCUCAUUUGAGUGUAUUUUGUCACAAGCAACCCCCUACCCCAGCUCAUACCAACCAGUACCUUCCUGAACAGAAGGAACCUCAGUGACACUUAGGAUAGUCAAACCACACCACUGACCAUGAUGGUUACUGUGGAAGUUUUUUUUUUUAAACUUAGGUUUACCAACAUGCAAGGGAAUGACACAUACACAUUCUCACUCACUCCACCAAGGAUCCAAUAUCCAAGGGAGCCCAUUCUGCCAAUACUUAUUUUUUCAGCUUCCAAGUACUGCUUCCUUCUGCUGCUUUUGAGUGCUGCUCUCCUCUUCAAAUCUUGCUUCAGCUUGCCUUAAUACUACUUCUCUACAUGCCCUUUACAAGUCUCAUACUUCCAAGCGACCGCCUUUUAUCUGCCUUAGGAGUUGCAGCUGGGGCCUAGGUAGCAGUAAUUGAUUGGUCCAGGCCUGUUACCAGGUAGAACAGGGAGAGAAAGCCACGCCUCCCUCCAUGCUUCACCCCCACAGGCCAACAAUCACCUGUCACAGGUACAGCCCAUCAGUGCCUUUGCCAGUCUCUUCCUUCCCGUUAGUCGGGAUCACAAACAGCCACUAAUAAGGUAGCUUCUUGUGGGCUCAUCACUUAUUGUAUUUACCCCAGCAUUUAUUUAGCACAGUGCUUGCUUUUGGGAAGUGCUUAACAAUUACCACAGUUGUAAUUAUCAUUACCACCCUCAGGGUUUGCUUUUACUGCUUUUUCUACGGGGUGAAGAAAAAAAAGAGAUGUGUAUGCCAUGCCACUAAUGAGUUAAGAAUGCCCACUAUGGAAAGAAUGUUACAUUUGACAUGUUAUGGAUGUGAAAACAGUAUUUCUCUCCUACAAUCCAUACUAAAAGAAUUUUGGUUGAAAUAAUUCUAUUAACUCUAGUAGUAAGUAAAAGCCAAACACUAGUAAGUUUAAUGAAACAAUAAUAUAAGCCUUUAGCCUCUGGUCCAUUGUGAAAUCUUCA